CUUGCACUUUCCAAGUAAGUGGCGAACGGGUGAGUAACACGUGAAUAACCUACCUCAAAGUCUGGGAUAACCAUUGGAAACAGUGACUAAUACCGGAUAAAACCCAAGUGCACAUGCACUAAGGUUAAAAGCUGCGUUUGCAGCGCUUUAAGAUGGAUUCGCGGUGCAUUAGUUAGUUGGUGAGGUAAAGGCUCACCAAGACGAUGAUGCAUAGCCGAGUUGAGAGACUGACCGGCCACAUUGGGACUGAGACACGGCCCAAACUCCUACGGGAGGCUGCAGUAGGGAAUCUUCCACAAUGGGCGCAAGCCUGAUGGAGCAACGCCGCGUGUGUGAUGAAGGCUUUCGGGUCGUAAAGCACUGUUGUAUGGGAAGAACGGGUUUAAGAGGAAAUGCUUAGACAGUGACGGUACCAUACCAGAAAGGGACGGCUAAAUACGUGCCAGCAGCCGCGGUAAUACGUAUGUCCCGAGCGUUAUCCGGAUUUAUUGGGCGUAAAGCGAGCGCAGACGGUUGCUUAAGUCUGAAGUGAAAGCCCACAGCUCAACUGUGGAAUGGCUUUGGAAACUGGGCAACUUGAGUACAGUAGAGGUAAGUGGAACUCCAUGGUGUAGCGGUGGAAUGCGUAGAUAUAUGGAAGAACACCAGUGGCGAAGGCGGCUUACUGGACUGCAACUGACGUUGAGGCUCGAAAGUGUGGGUAGCAAACAGGAUUAGAUACCCUGGUAGUCCACACCGUAAACGAUGGAUACUAGUUGUUAAGAGGGUUUCCGCCCUUUAGUGACGAAGCAAACGCAUUAAGUAUCCCGCCUGGGGAGUACGACCGCAAGGUUGAAACUCAAAGGAAUUGACGGGGACCCGCACAAGCGGUGGAGCAUGUGGUUUAAUUCGAAGCAACGCGAAGAACCUUACCAGGUCUUGACAUCCUUUGAAGGUACUAGAGAUAGUACUGUCUUCUUCGGAAGCAAAGUGACAGGUGGUGCAUGGCCGUCGUCAGCUCGUGUCGUGAGAUGUUGGGUUAAGUCCCGCAACGAGCGCAACCCUUAUGUUUAGUUGCCAGCAUUCAGUUGGGCACUCUAGACAGACUGCCGGUGACAAACCGGAGGAAGGCGGGGACGACGUCAGGUCAUCAUGCCCCUUAUGACCUGGGCUACACACGUGCUACAAUGGCGUAUACAACGAGCAGCAAACCUGUGAAGGUAAGCGAAUCUCUUAAAGUACGUCUCAGUUCGGAUUGUAGUCUGCAACUCGACUACAUGAAGUCGGAAUCGCUAGUAAUCGCGGAUCAGCAUGCCGCGGUGAAUACGUUCCCGGGUCUUGUACACACCGCCCGUCACACCAUGGGAGUUGGUAAUGCCCAAAGC
rnacentral:rRNA from 1 species